rnacentral:rRNA from 1 species
GGCGCACGGGUGAGUAACGCGUUGGAUAAUCUACCCUUUAGUCGGGAAUAACCCACCGAAAGGUGAGCUAAUACCGGAUAAUGCUCCGCAACUACUGUUGUGUAGCCAAAGAAGGCCUCUGCUUGCAAGCUUUUGCUGAAGGAUGAGUCCGCGUACCAUUAGCUAGUUGGUAGGGUAAUGGCCUACCAAGGCGACGAUGGUUAGCUGGUCUGAGAGGAUGAUCAGCCACACUGGAACUGAGAUACGGUCCAGACUCCUACGGGAGGCAGCAGUGAGGAAUAUUGCGCAAUGGGGGCAACCCUGACGCAGCAACGCCGCGUGAGUGAGGAAGGUUUUCGGACCGUAAAGCUCUGUCGAGCGGGAAGAAAUGCAUGAUGGCUAAUAUCCAUGAUGCUUGACGGUACCGCUAGAGGAAGCACCGGCUAACUCCGUGCCAGCAGCCGCGGU